GUUCUUUUCGUCUAUUGGUUAGGACGUUGCCUUUUCACGGCAGAAAGACGAGUUCAAUUCUCGUAAGGGAUU
rnacentral:tRNA from 1 species